CUUGACCGAGCCCAGCCGGAGCGGUUCGCCGGUGCCGCGCUGGCCGUAGGUGUCCAGCAGCGCCUGCGCCUC
rnacentral:antisense_RNA from 1 species